rnacentral:tRNA from 1 species
AGUUAAUUAGUUUAAGUAGAAUGAAAGUUUUGUAAGCUUAAGGUCUUAGAUGGAAAUGGAAA